rnacentral:tRNA from 1 species
UCCGGUGUAGCUCAGACGGUAAGAGCGUCACGCUGAAGACGUGAAGGCCGCUGGUUCGACCCCAGCCGCCGGAA